rnacentral:lncRNA from 1 species
AAAAUAAUAGAAAAAGGAUGAAAAUGGUCUAAUGGCCAUUUUAAGUAAUAUACAAAACUUGGUUAUAUUUAUUGUAAAUUUUUUAUUUUUUUAAAUAUAAAUGAAAUUUUUUCUUUAAAUAGUACACAGAUAUCUAACUUAUUAAAUUUAAUGAAAUAAAUUUAGUCAAAUAUUUUUAAAUUUUACAAAGCUAAUAUUAUGUUCAUACGUUUUUAAAAGAUUUUUAAAAAUUCGCCAGCUUCAUCAAGUUCUCGUGCAAAUUCAAUAUUUUCCAUGAAAGGUUUGAUAUACUAUUGCACAAGAGUUGCUACAUACACUUUUAUAAACAAGAACUAGUAGAACUAUCCGUUCUUUGCGCGAUUAAAAAUAUCUUAUUCAAUUAAUGAAAUGAUCCUCUUUACUUGUAAUAUAAUAUAAUGAUAAAAAUAGGUUGUGCACACCUAAAAAAUGACCCUCACUUUCCACAAUUAUAUAUUCCGAGAAAAUUACAUAUAUAUCUUCUUUUGAUUUUAAUUUGUACAUCAUUUUUGAAACUCCAAAUGUAAAUAUUUUAUUUUUAUUUAUCAUAUCUAUUAUGCUUUGAUGUUUUUGCUUGUAUACUUUGCAAUAGGCACGUAUUCCAUCCGUUUCAUUUUACCAGUCCCAAAUUGAUAUCACACAAUUAUUAAGAAAACUAUGAUCUAUAAAGUAACUUUAUCAUUUAACCCCUUUUAAUUGUAUAUCAUUUAACCCCUUUUAAUUGUAUAUUAUUAUCAAUUUCAAUAUUGAUAGAUGACUAAUAUCAAAGCACUAUUUAUAUUCUUAAUAAUAUACUCUUUGUAAUAUUUUUCAAGAAUGUUAAUAAUAAGGAAUAAUCAAUUAUACUAAGGAAAUAAUAAGAAAAAAAAUUAUCUUGAUAAGUAAAAACAGAGAAGUAAAAUACAACAAUAAAUUAGAAAAUUUGAGAUGGAGAAAAAUGGUACUAAGGGAGUAGUUGAGUUGAAUGUAGGAAAGGAAGCAGAGGCUUCAAAUCUGAAAACCAAAAACAGAAAAAUCAACUGACCAAACGCAUGGCCGCGGACAUAACAAUAAUUUAAGACAACUACAAAAUCAUUGCUCCACAAAUUUCAAAUACAAUUAUUGUAGAUUUUAUACUAAAUCAAGAGUGAAAGAUCAUUCAACAAUGGCAAAUUAUUUUUCAAUUAAACUCUACCAGCAGUUUCCUCGUUAUGAUAAAAAUUCCAAAGAAAAGAAUUCUUCAUAAAAACAAUUACUCGUCUUUUUAUAAAAAUAAAUAUGUUAAAAAAAAAGUCACUCAGUUCAGCGAGGUAAUCGACAUGCAAGCAAACUCUAAAAGAGGAGCCUGCAAUCCGGUCUGUUGAGCUUGAAUAUUAUGAAGUCAUCAUCGUGACACUUCUUCCACAAAUAAAUUAGAGUAAAAAGAAAAUUAGAAAACGUGUAAAAUUAAAAGAAAAAAAAAAGAAAUAAAAGAAAUUGCUUAAUCAAGUAAGAGCAGAUCAAGCUAUCAAACAUUAUCUUAUACGUAAAUACCAUUGAUCACAUUUUGUAUUCCAUGCGAAAUUGGUUUUUAUGAAAAUGUUUCAUGUAAAACUGAACAAUGAAACUACAAAUCCUUGAUUUAUAUUAUAACUACAUAGUAAAAACUCAUAUCAAAACAUUAAAACUACAACUUGACAAAAGAUAAUUAACUAUUAGCGAUUAUUAAGGAAAAGCAAUUAAAAUUCAAUUAGUGGUAACUCACAACAAAUCUAUAGAAGGAUUUCCAGAUCACAAAUCCAUACCACAGAAAAUGCAAUCAUGAACCAGGAAUUUCAGAGAAGGUACAUGUUAAAGCUAAGCAAAAGCACUCAAAGAAAACAUUUUCAUAGGAAGCGAUUGAACUUCGAAAGGUAUGACACAAGCCACCAUAUCAUCAUCAGAACGAUAAUCAAUUUCAUUCACAACCAUAACUAGUUGUGUCCAAAGGUGUCCUAAGAUUGAUCUGUGUCAUCAUUUGACUUAUGGCAACCAAUAAACUAAGAAAAAUGUUGCAAAAAAAAAAAAAAAAAAAAAUAUGUGCCACAAAUUAAAAACCAAAAGUAAAACUUGAAUUAAUAAACAGUAUGUGAUUCAGUUGCAACAUAAACAUAAUCACUAUUAUAAAAUCAGUCCAAGUGUUGGAAUUAAAAUAAUUGCUUCAUCAUCAUCACCAUUAGAACAAAAUAUAAAACGGCAGUUUCAUAAAUAGAAAAACAAGAAUAAAAGGUCAUUCAUCACCGAAAUCAGAAGAGGGAGCUUAGAUAUCCUCAUUAUGAUCUCAAUUUCAAAAAGGUCACUCCUGGGCUGAACAUUUGAGUCCAAUAAGUAUUAAUGGAUCGAAUCUCCUUCAGAGGUUAGGUUUGCACGAGAUUUACUUUUGGAAAAUUAUUUAAAACUACAAUAUAAGUUUAUAUUAUUACAUAAAAUUUUAAUUAUUAAAAAUAAUUAUAAAAAUCUCUUUUUAUUACUUUUUCUCUCCAAGUGUCGUAUACAUAUCUCAUCUAUCUUUUUCUUAUGUUUAAUGCUCCUCAAAGAGUAUCUACAAUCAAGGAACCUUAAUCAAGCGGUUUUUAAAUUUUGAAUUUACAAACGUAUUCUUCUCAAAUUGCUCAAUAUCAACUUUUUCAUAAAAAGAAAUCACAGCCGCCGCAUUCCACUCAUCUCCGAUCGGCACACCCCACCAACCCCGUCUCUUUGCCUUCGUCGCUGCUCCAGUGAGAAGCUCCAACUCUGAUGAAUCGAAGUUAACCUCAACAAAUCAACAACCUAUCUGACCGGUGAAAUCUAAUAAAAUUCUAAAAGUUUCUCUCAUCCGAUGAGCUUUGAAAAUACUUCGAAGCAUAGUCAUAAAUAAAAUUAUGGAAAUGACCAAUAAGAUAAGAGGUUCAAUAUGUGAAACAAAGUAAUAUCCAUGUUUUAAUAACAAAAUACAAAACAAAAAUUCAACACUGUCUAUGAAGCCUUUAACUUUAAGAAUAACUCCUAAGUAGGGACUGUGGACAAUGAAAUUUUAUGAAAUGCAAAUCCGUACAAAAUUCGGAUAAUAUUAAAUUUAAAAUAUAUUAAUCCUAAAUAAAUAGUGUGGAUUAAUAUAAUUGGAUUAAUUAGUUAAAGUCCAAACGCAUAUGGAUUUAAUUAAAGUCCAAACGCAUAUGGAUUUAAUUAAAGUCCAAACCUCAAUUGGGCUAACCUAUUAAUUUGGGCUACAAAUGACUAAGCCCACUUUAGCAAGCCCAAGAUGCCGUCAUGUUCUAAAGGCCCAAUUUGGUACCACAUGUCAAAUGAAGUGGUAUGCCAAGUCAAGUGAAGGAGUCAAUGGGACUAUGUCAUGUGUCAAAAUGAUGCAGUAAAUUAAAAGUCCAUAAGAAAUGCCAUGUCACUUAAAUAUGAUUGGUCAAAGAAAGUUUAUGUUUACAUGACUCUUUACUCCCUACAACUAUAAAUAGGGGCCUCAUAAUUCAGAAAAGGGACCAACAAGUUUAACAAGAAGCAAGAAAAAGCUCGUGGAUCAAAAAAGCAGAUUUCUCUACAAAUUCAAGAACAAGCUCAAGAUUUCAAGAUCAAGAGUUCAAGGUUCAAGAACAAGCUCAAGAUUUCAAGAUCAAGAGUUCAAGGUUCAAGAACAAGCUCAAGAUUUUAAGAUCAAGAGUUCAAGGUUCAAGAACAAGCUCAAGAUUGCAAGAUCAAGAGUUCAAGAUUCAAGAACAAGUUCAAUCUUCAAGAUCAAGACUACAAAAUUCAAGAACAAACUCAACGGCCCUUGAAUUCAAGUACAAGUCGAGAUCAAGUUCAUCAAGUCUUCAAAUCAAGUUCAAGUUCAAGAUCAAGACCACAAGAUUCAAGAACAAGCUACCAAGCCCUUGGAUUCAAGCACAAGUCAAGAUCACAUCCGUUAAGUUCAAGUUAAAGUUCAAGAUCAAGCUCGAAGCCCUUGAAUUUAUAGUUUAAAAAGGCAAAUCAGAGGAAUCAUAGAGAUUGUAACACUCACUUAUUGAAAUCAAUAAAUCGAUUGUUGCAGUAUUUUUUCUUGUCUCGAUUAUUAUUUUUUGUCUCGAGAAUUUUACUGUCCAACAAAUUCUGGCACGCCCAGUGGGACGAUUUUUACCUCUCAUCUCAACUUUUUAGACUUUGAAGAUUAAGAACGCUGAAAUGACUUCUAAGAAGAUCAACUCUCAAUCAACUGCUUCCAAGGCUGCUGAUUCAAGGUUCUCUUCUGAAGUGGAAAGCAUUCUUGGUGUUACUUUCGAAAGUUUAGGAGCUGUCACAAGGAGCAAGGUAGGCUUGCUAGGACAACAAACACAUCCAGUGUCGUUCGUGCCAAUUCCAGUUUUUGGAUCUUCAACCCCAAAAAGAGCGAAGUCCAAUACAAGUGCUUCGGAAGGAGGAAGCAGUGUCGCGGAAUCGCUUAAGAAGACUCUAGCUCUACUUGAGCAUUCUGGUUCCAAAUACUCUAGCACAAAGAGCGAUGGUCGUUCAACAAAUGCGUCAUCUCUAUUUAUACCGCAUAAGCUGAGCACAUCAAAGAUUAACUUAUGUGGCAAACCAUAUUACUCUCCAACGUCUCCAGUGAUCAUGUAAGCAAUGGUGACUGAUGCCUCGUCUAUGGAGGAGCAACUGGUGAAUCUGACAAAGGCAAUUGAGAGCCUGACCAAAUAUGUUCAGAAUCAAGAUGCUCGAAUUAAUAAGAUAGUGGAUAGGGUGGAAGGCCUGAUAGAUGGAGCAUCUAGAUAUACACUAAGAAAAGCUCUAGAGGAUCAAGAGAAAGAACAUCCUGGAAGCAAACAGCACCAACUAAAGAGGUACAAGUUUCUUCUGAGGGGAUGAUCUCGAUUGAGCAAUUGAAAAAAUUCAUUGAAGGGACCCUCAAAGACAAGUAUGAUGUUUUCACUAAGUUUUUUCUUGCGAAUGCCAAGCCCUACACUGUAAGGAUCGCUAGCCUCAAAAUUCCUGCAGGUUAUCAACCGCCCAAAUUUCAAUAAUUUGAGGGCAAAGGGAACCCGAAACAAUAUGUCGCACACUUUGUUGAGAUAUGUAAUAAUGCUGGAACUUAUGGAGACUAUCUUGUCAACCAGUUUGUUCGUUCCCUAAAGGGAAGCGCAUUUGAUUGGUAUACGAACCUUGAGCCUAACUCCAUCGAUAGUUGGGAGCAAUUGGAACAUGAGUUCGUGAAUCACUUUUAUAUCACGAGGCGUAUAGUGAUCAUGGUAGAGCUCAUAAAUACUUGACAAAAAAAGGAUGAGCCAAUCAUCGACUUCAUCAAUCGAUAGAGAAAUACGAGCCUAAAUUGCAAAGAUAGGCUCAGCAAAGCUUCUGCAAUAGAUAUGUGCAUCCAAGAAAUGCAUUGGUAGCUUCUCUAUAUCUUACAAGGCAUCAAACCAAAGUCCUUUAAAGAGUUAUCUACUCGUGAUCACGACAUGGAGUUGAGCAUGUCUUCUGCUGGAAAGAGAGGAACACCUAUCCCUGACCCUCAAAGGGGAAAGAAUAAGAAGAAACCCAAAAGAUGGGGCAAGUUUGUCCCCAAAAAUGACAAUAAGGAGUCCAUGAAUGUUGAUGUGUCUCCUGUGAAGGUCAUCACAAAGGUGAGCAAAAAGCAAAGUGUGAAGACGACCUCUGUAGCACGUCCAAAUCAGAAAACUUUAAAGGAGAUACAAGAAAAGAAAUAUCCCUUCCUUGAUUUUAAUGUUGACGAGAAUUUUAAUGAACUCCCUAAUGAAGAUGCAAUGGCUUUGGAAGUUAUAUCCCCAUGGAAGAUGUACUUUGAUGGUGCUAUACAUCGAGAUAGAACUGGUACUGGCGUAGUGUUUGUCACUCCACAAGAAGGGGUCAUCCCCUACUUUUUUACCUUGACGAAUCGUUGCUUCAAUAAUGUUGCUAAGUAUUAAGUGCUCAUACUCGGACUAGAUAUGGUUAUUGACAUGAAGCAACUAUAAUUACAAGUUUUUAGUGACUCUCAAUUGGUGAUAAAGCCGUUGUUGGGAAGCUAUGAAGUUUGAAAACCUGAGUUAAGACCAUAUCAUGAUCAUGCACAAAAGUUGAUGGGAUGGCUUAGAGAAGUAACCCUCUAACAUAUGCCAAGGAAAGAAAAUAAGCAAGCUGAUGCCCUAACUAUUUUGGCUUCAACUCUAACUUUUCCGAAUCAGACACGAGUUACUCUUUGCCAAGAAUGGGUAGUACCGCUAUCACAUGAAGAUGAAGACGUAAAAAGUAAGGUUGAAUACCUCGUCGCCAUGUUCGAAGCUAUAAAGGAGGAUUGGCGAAAACCUAUCAUUGACUACUUGUGUUAUGGGAUACUUCCAGAAGAUCCAAGGAGAAAGACUGACAUUCGUCGUCGUACACCUCACUUUCUUUAUUACAAAGACACACUGUAGCAAAGAUUAUUUGAAGGAGUACUCUUAAGGUGUUUGUGAUACGAGAAUAAUAACCACCUUAGCUUUUGACGACAUCAUUCAAAGUCACUAUGUGAAGAAUCAAGCUUUAGUCGCAUGGAGGGCACAGGAUCAUACUUGGAGGGGACAUUUUGAGCCUACCAUUAAUUAAACUCGAGUGUGAAAGAUUGCUUGGAGACUUGAAGACUUAAGUACUCUCAGGUUUGGACCACCUUAUUGGUUCACGAUUUUGGUUUCCUUGAUUGAAGGGCAUUUUGGUCUCUUAUCUUUGUCCAAGUGACACUCCAUGACCAUCCUUCCUCAUUAAGGGCAUUAGAGUCAUUUUGUAUUUAUUUUGUAAUAGAUUAUAAAUAGGCUCCUUUAGUCUUAUUUUUAUUAGUUUAUGAAAGAUGAAAUAUUGAAACAUCAAAAAUCCUCUCUCUUGAGAGUAGAACACUUAGUCUUAGUUAGGGCUUGAAAAAACUAGUAUUAAUCUUUGCUUGGAAACGGUAGAUCUUGAGGUGAGAUGAUUCCCUUGGCGAUCACCAUAAGAGUGUGAUUUUGAUUAUUACAUUCAUUAGGGGAUUUUGAGUUUAAUACACUUUUUAGUUCUUAAUCUUGUAAUAAUCUUGGUCUCACUAUCUAUCAUUUACUUUUAUUAUUGUCAUCUUGUGUAGUGGACUAUUUUGGGUCCUUUAUUGAAUUUGAAACUUGUGUUAUUGUUAUUCAUCUUGUUCCUCACGUUUUGUAGCUGUUUGUGGUGUUAUAUACACCAUUGUAUCUUGUAUUUUUCUUGUUGAUAGCGAAUCCGAGAGUGUUCUACAUCUUGGUCCUCGGAUCCUUAAGAUUGCGGACUGACUUGGAGUGUGUUUCGUGCUUCCAUUUUCUUUCUCGUAUCAUCGUGUUCCUACAAGAUCAAUCUUGGGGUUGCUUGUUAGAAAAUUCAAAAAAAGUGUUAAAAAUUGAAAAUUCUAGAAAAAUAGCAAUCUGUCUGUGUUUGUGUUCUUGGCCAAAAUUGUGUUCUUGUUGUGUCUUGGCCGAGAUUUGUUUGUUGUGUGACUAGAUCUAGUAGUGUUCUUAUUUUUUUUUUUGUUUCUAGUGUUAGUUUUCUUGUCCACUAACACUUUGAGUCUAGAUCUAAACUUGAGCUUGAACUUGUUGAAAGUUGUUGUUGUGAACAUAAACUUGGCCCAUUGUUGUUGUUCUUGUUGUUAUGGGUUUAAAGUUUGCAGUGUAGACGUUGUUGUAAUUCUUGGUGAAUGUUGUGUUGUUAUUGAAGUUCUUCACAACCUUCAUCUCUUGUUAAAAUCGAGGACACAACACUAAAGAGACUUGGUCGUUUGUUGUUGUGGAUUGGAGUUGGCCGUUGGUAUUGUUGUUGUUCUAGAAAAUUGUUGUUAUUGUUGUUGGUGUGGUUGUUGUUGUUAUUGAAGUUCUUCACCUUCCUUCAUAUAUUGUUAGAAUAUAAAGUGAAUGCUAGAUCCUAAAAGGUGAAGGAAAAAGGUGUACGUACUUGUUAGUCUUGAAAGACCCCCAACCACCAAAAGACAUAUCACUUCUCAACCAUUUUUCCAUGAUUUGACCCAUGUUUUAAGGAGAAGUACAAGAAAAAUUCAAGUGUUGAAAAUUGAAAAAGGCUCCAAGACUUAUUUUUCCUCCUAAACAAAUUCUACCAAUCCAAAUUAAUUUUUUACCAAGACUUGAACAUUUGAGAAUAACCACUUGAUAAAACCAAACCAAUACGUGGUUGCCACAUCAUCAUUGCUACUGUUCACGCAAUAUUAUUGAGCUCAAAAUUUUAUAUUCUUAGUUUUAUUUUAUUGUUUCAUUAGUUUCAUGUCUUGAUUCUAGAAUUAAUUAACAACUAGUAAUAACCUACUUAGUUGUAGAUUUAUUAUUGAAUCUGUUUCUUUCGUGUCUUCGUUAUUUGUGUGCUUUUCUCUUUUUUUAACAUGUAGUAACUUCUUUGUUUCAAGUUCAUAAGUAAAAUUUUUUUUUAGUCUUGAGUCGAUCAAACAAGAAGCUAUUCCGGCCGCCAAGUAGAAUUGACAUCUUAUUAACUACUGGAGUAUAAGCAACUUUCAAUAUUCGUCGCUCCAAUUGUGAGGAUCAUAAUUUGAGUGAAUAGGAGUGUUGGUGAGGAGCUUUUACUACUAAUUUUGUUUGUUCAUUGUGUAGGAACAAAGAUGAUAUAAGGGGAACAUGUCUUCGGUAGCGGGGAUUAUUGUGACUACAACAUGGGAGACUAUGGUUGUAGUGAAGGGUUUUAUGGCUACGAAGUUGAGGGAGAUUGUGGAGGCUAUGAAAAUAGCCAUGAUCAAAACUUGGGCAGAUUUGAAAGUUACUAUUUUGAGGGAGAAAAUAGGGUGAAUGAAGUGCCUAGUGCUUAUGGUGACUUUGGAGAUGAUGUAGGACCUCGUGAUGGAUCUUAUGAUAACGUUAGGGCAUGUGAGGAGUCUUACACUUCUUACUUCAAAUGUAGAUUUGGUGUUAGGUAUAACCCUUUCAUUCGCAAAGUUUAUAAGAGCUAUGAUGAGAGUACACGUGAGGAGUGUAAAGAUUCAUAUUCUCCACCUUGUAGUACUUCUUAUCAAGAUCGAUAUAGUGUGAAUGGUUAUACUAGCUCUAGUGGAGGUUGUUCAACGAGAAGAAGAGGGUAUGCAUCUCUAAAACCGAGGGGUGCUCGUAUCCUUUACAAUAUUGAUCCAAGAAGGAGUGUACACUUCGGAAAGGUGACCAUUUGUGGGAAACCGGGCUUCCUCAUUGUGUAAAUGAUAGGUACUAUAGAAAAUACAUCGUUCCAUCCAUGGUUGACUACUUGGGGUUAUUUUGCGAGCCUUUACUUGUUCUAUACUUCUUGGAUAGAUUUAAGGUUAUCGAGAGGGUCAAAGUUAUCUUCUCCCAAUUUGAGUACCAUAAGAAGGUGUGAUGUGAUAUUCUUCCAUUUACAUAUGGUCAUGUAUGCUUAGGUGCCGAUUGGUUUGCACAACAUAGAGUUCCAAAUGUGCAAAAUUAGCCUAAUGAUGUAAGAGAUCAAUGGGGAAAUCACCUCAUGACAUACAUGCUGUCUGAGCUGCAAAGAGAUGUGAAUACUUACUCGAAUCCGAAUACUUAUGAGGUACAAAAUAUUGAGAGGAUUAAGGCUGUUCAAGGUGGUAAUUCGAGAGUGGGAGCGAAGCGAGGGGAUUGGCACCAAACCAAGCUAACAUUGUUUGUUCUUCUAUUUCUAAGGACGUUUGUGUAGGUACCGACAUGAAAAGUGAUGGAGAGAAAUGUCAAAGUGAAGUUGCUGCCUAAGCUUAUGGAGGACCUUCAUAAUACGAAGAAGGAGAGUCGACUCAAGAACUUCAUGGUAAAAUAGCUAACUAUUACACUUUUAUGCAUGUGAAUGAAAAUUGUGUGGCUAGUAGCCCCUUGAGUGUGAGUAGUAGCUUACUUACUUGUGAGUUUAAUAAAUCUUUGCUUUUUGUUAAUGAUGUACAUGUUAUGAGUGUGGAUACACUAGUUGAUCCUAUUGAUGACCAAAUUGACUCUUCUUGUAAGAUCGAUUUAUGUCCACCUAGUGUUGAAGCCUAUAUAUUGAACGAAAGUACAUCGUCUUGUGUAAUUGGUGUUGAUCAACCUAGUUAUGAAAAUUGUCCACCACUUGAGUAUGCGUGUGAUGUGAUUAAUCAAAAUCAAGUGAGCGAAGUAUUUGAAAAAGUUGGUCAACAAAAGGGGAGUGAAACCGAGAGCUACUCUUGGGAUAAUCUUGUACUUGAAAUCUCUUUAAAAAGUAAUAUUGAGCUUUUAGAGAGUGCUGAAUGUGUUUGUUCCGAAUCUUCCCAUGAAAUAGAUUAUGCUCUCUUUAGGUAUAAUGUCUUAUUUGAAGAUGAUAUAAACACUCUUAAUGAGCCUAGUGGUGGAAAUGAAGGUAUAGCUUGCCUUGGAAGAUAUAGCCGAUAUGCUAACCCACUAUGGUGUGACAAUAUUUCUCCUAAAGAUGGAAAUCUUUUUUUUGAAAGAUGAGAGUACUCGUAUAGGUAAGAAAUGUGUAGUCCUUCUUGAAAACCUGAGGGCAAAGGUGUCAUUGACUCCUUGGAGUAAUGUUCCUUAAUGUGCUUCCUUGUUUGACAAACUUGUCCCUAAAUUGCAUGAAUUCCAACUUGUAGAUGCCAAGUUGUCUAGUUUUUUGAAGGAAAGAAUGUGUAUGUGUUUAAAUACUUAUUCUUCACCCGUGAAUUCCUUUGCAUGUGAUUCUUUCCUAUACUACCUCUUUGCCUAUGAUGAUGUCCAUGCUAGUUUUGGAUUUGUUUUAUGUCGAGGUAGGAAGUUUGUUGGUCUGUCCAUGUGUGUAUGAUAAUGCUAUAUAGAUUUUAUGGACUUUAGAACCAAUCGAAACACCCCCUUUGGUGUGGUUUUUUGAUGAGAUAAAGAAGCAAGGGUGUCUUAUGGCUCAUAAGAUGAAGUAAGUUCUACCUUGUGGAUUAUUUGAUGCCAAUAGGACCUAUGUAGUUUCUUUAUCUCUUGGUGAUUCCCAUAACCAAAUCCUUUGUGCACCUUUUAUUGAGCUUUUAAUAUUUAAUUCAAAGAAUCCUUGGAUAUAUUACAAAUAUGUUCAACCUUGGCAUGUUGAGAUGAUUUAUUGUGCUAACCCUAACCCUCAUGCCAUGAGGAGUUUGUAUUUAUUUGUCCUCUCUUUAUUUUUGCAAGGUUUGGAUUUGAGGUUGAAUUCUUUUCAAGAAGGGAAGGAUGAUACGAGAAUAAUAGCCACUUUAGCUUUCGAUGACAUCAUUCAAAGUCACUAUGUAAAGAAUCAAGCUUUGGUCGCAUGGAGGGCACAUGAUCAUACUUGGAGGGGGCGUUUUGAGCCUACCAUUAAUCAAAUCUGAGUGUGAAGAUUGCUUGGAGACUUGAAGACUUAAUUACUCUUGGGUUUGGACCACUUUGUUGGUUCACCGUUUUGAUUCCUUGAUUGAAGGGCAUUUUGGUCACUUAUCUUUGUCCAAGUGAUACUCCAUGACCAUCCCUCCUCAUUAAGGGCAUUGGAAUCAUUUUGUGUUCAUUUUGUAAUUGAUUAUAAAUAGGCUCUUUUAGUCUUAUUUUCAUUAGUUUAUGAAAGAUAAAAGAUUGAAAUAUUAAAAAUCCUCUCUCUUGAGAGUAGAACACUUAGUCUUAGUUAGGGCUUGGAAAAGCUAGUAUUGAUCUUUGCUUGGAAGCGAUGGAUCUUGAGGUGAGUUGAUUCCCUUGGCGAUCACCGUAAUAGUGUGGUUUUGAUUAUUACAUUCAUUAGGGGUUUUUGAGUUUAAUACACUCUUUAGUUCUUAAUCUUGUAAUAAUCUUGGUUUCACUAUCUAUCCUUUACUUUUAUUGUUGUCAUCUUGUGUAGUGGACUAUUUUGGGUCUUUUAUUGAAUCUGAAACUUGUGUUAUUGUUAUUCAUCUUGUUCCUCAUAUUUUGUUGCUGUUUUGGUGUUAUAUACACCAUUGUAUAUUGUAUUCUUCUUGUUGAUAGCGAAUCCGAGAGUUGUCUCCAUCUUGGUCCUUGGAUCCUUAAGAUUGCGGAUUGAUUUAGAGUGUGUUUCAUGCUUCCGCUGUCUUUCUCGUAUCAGUUUGGGAGAGAAAGAAGCAAUUCAAGCUUUGCAACAAGUGCACUCGGGAGUUUGUGGAUCACAUCAGUCUGGACCCAAGCUCAAUUUUCACAUUAAGAGGAUAGGAUAUGAUUGGCCAACGAUGGUGAAAGAUUGCUUGGACUAUGCUAGAAGAUGCAAAGCUUGCCGAUUCCAUGCAAAUUUCAUAUAUCAACCUCCAGAGGUACUACACCUAACUGUAGCAUCUUAGCUAUUCAAUGCAUGGGGAAUGGAUGUUGUUGGUCCAUUACCAAAAUCUUCUGGUGGACACUUAUACAUGUUGGCCGCGAUAGAUUACUUCUCAAAAUUUGUUGAAACUGUUUCUCUCAAGGAAGUAAAGAAACAAAAUGUCGCAAACUUUAUACGAGUGAAUAUCAUCUACCGCUUUGGAAUUCCUCAGUACAUAAUAACUGGCAAUGAAAAUCCAUUUGAUAACAAGUUAAUGAAUAAAAUCUGUAAUCUUUUUGGUUUCAAGCAGCGCAAGUCUUCUAUGUACUAUGAUGCCGCCAAUGGUCUAGUGGAAGCAUUCAAUAAGACUUUAUGCAACUUGCUGAAGAAAGUCAUCUCCAAAUCAAAUGAGACUGGCAUAAGCAAAUAGAAGAAGUUUUAUGGGCAUAUAGGACAACUUAUCGUACACCGACGUAAGCAACCCCAUACUCACUUGCUUUUGGAGUUGAAGCAGUCCUGCCACUUGAGCGUAAAAUACCUUCUUUGAGACUGGUUGUUCAAGAAGGGUUCACCGAUGAAGAAAAUGCUAAGUUGCGUCUUACAGAGUUAGAAGCUCUUGAUGAAAAGAUGCUGGAGGCUCAACAAAAUCUUGAAUGUUAUCAAUCCCGGCUUUCUCAUUCUUUCAACAAAAAGGUUCGCUUGAGGUGUUUCUAAGUUGGAGAUCAAGUCCUUACAGUAAGAAGACCCAUUAUCACUUCUAUAAGUCUGGGGGCAAAUUCACUCUGAAGUAGAAUGGACCAUACGUCGUACAAGAGACAUAUUCAAAUGGUGCUUACAAGCUUGUUGAUGCAGAUGGCGUGAGGAUUGGUCCCAUCAAUGCCAAGUCUUGAAGAAAUACUAUCCUUGAAGGAAGAUGACAAUCCUUAAGGCAUUAAACCACAUUGAGAUUUUUGUUUUGAGAAUUUAUGUGCUACAUGCACCCAUGUUUAGACUAUAAGGGUCAUUAACCCACAUUGAGAUUGUUGUUUUAAAAAUUUAUGUGCUACAUGCACCCAUGUUUAGACUAUUUUUGAUGCAGUAUAGAAAGAUUUGACCUUUUGGUCACAACAAAGUUAAAAUCCACUUUAUGAAAUGAGUUCCGAAUUUUAUCAUUUAUUUAACUUAAGAAAUAUGAGAUUACCCUUAAAGUGGAUUUUUCUUGAGAUUUUUUAGCAUAGUAUUGGGAGUAGUAUUUAGCACCGAGUUGGGUAUGUUACUGCGAUUUCAUACCCUAGAACUAUAUGCCACCGUAGGUUGAGACAUUGACUUCCACUAUAUGUGGAAAAUUGAGAUAGUGAUCACUGAGAUGAGAUUAUUCUACACCGAUUGCAAGAUUAGGACAGCCCUAACCUUAUGGGGGAAAGUCGUGGGACAUCAUGGGUGCUCACAUGGUGUACAUGUCGGUUAGAAGAACCUCCCAAAGAGUCGUCUCUCAUUCUUAGAUUGAUUUUACUGAUUUAAAAGAGAUAAGAAAUGGAGAUUUAUGAUGUAUUCAAUAUUCCAGAUUUUACUAAGAUUGCGUGAUGAGAAAAUAAGAAAAGAAUCUUGAUAUUUGGAUUAAGUGUAAUGGCUCAUGAUAUCCAGAUUGGCAUGUUUUACCAUUCAUUGUGUAUGAUAGAUUUUAGAAGAUUUCUUUCAANNNNNNNNNNNNNNNNNNNNNNNNNNNNNNNNNNNNNNNNNNNNNNNNNNNNNNNNNNNNNNNUAUAUAUAUAUAUAUAUAUGCAUAUAAAUAUGUUUAUUUCAUGCACCCCUAUGUACUCGGUACAUAUUCCAUGGUACUGACCCACAUGUUCGCAUGUGGGCUACAUUUUUCUUAUAAUGUAGGUUCAGGUGCUCAUUCUCAGGUUUGACCGUCAUUAUCCAAGAACGCUGAUCUACAUCCUCUGCAGUGGCAAGUCCUCAUGGUCCUAGGACUAGUUAUUCAAAUUUUCUCAUUUACUUUGAGUCGUUCAGUUUAUUUCCUGAGUUUGGGUCAGUUGGGGUUUGUCCCAAUGGCUCAUGGAUAUACAGUUUAGUAGAGGCUUAUCAAACUAGAUGAAUAGAUUUAUCAGAUUUAUCAGAGAUGUCGUAUUUUAUUACUUUCCAUAUUUCAUUCGUAUUGCAAUAUGAUAUUAUAGAGGAUGUUUAGAUGUUUUGAUUAUGAUGACUUUGAUUAUAAGUGUUGAAUGGUAGAAAAAUGAAUAAAAGGGUUAGCUUGGGGCUACUUGUAGCCUUAAGCACCGUGUGAUGCCUCGGGGCCCAUUUUUGGGGCGUUAUAAAGGGAUUUUAAGUUAUUGAUGAAAAAUAAAACUUUUAGUUGUAUUAUAUUCGAGAAUGGGUUUACAAUUUUGAGUUUUGAUGGUAAAAUCGUAGAAAGAACUUGAGAAAUUCCUAGUUUCCGUUGCAGUAUUCCGUUGACUAUCAUGUUGUGGUAUUAUUGGAUGGUGUUUGUGGUGGUGGUGGUGGUAUUUGUGGUCGUCGUGGUGGCACUGGUGGUGGCAUUGGUUGGUGGCGUUUGUGGUGGCUGUCGGUGGUGUCGUAUUCGUGGUGUUUGUUUGUUUGUUGGCAUUAGUUGGUGGUAUUUGUGGUGGUGGUUGUUGGUAUGUCGGUAUUCGUGGUAUUUGUAAUGUAUUUUUUAAAAUCUAUGCAUACAUCAAUAGUAAUGUAAUUUUUGUUUUUCUUUGUCUGUAGGUAAAACAUGUCUCUCAAAAGAAAAGAAAGUCAAAGUGGAUCAACGUCUGACCACUAAAUAAAAGGCUACAGUACAGAGGUAUUCAAAGGAGCUUCCUGAACAAUCUCAGUCAGGGAAAAGUGAAGCUGAGGAGAGAUGAAAACAACAUUGAAGGAGGUGGACAAGGGUCCGUAGAUGGUGAUAAAGAAAAUGAAAGUGAGAAAGAGAAGGAAUUGGAGAGUGAGAAAGAAAAAGAGGAUAAUUAUCAACAUGAUGAUAAUGGAUCACCGAGCAAAGAGCAACACCAAUAUUAAGGAAGCUGAUCUUUUUAACCCUCAAGAUGAUGCAAUACGUCUUCUUCAAGUAAAAUAAUUCUACUCAAAGAUAAGAAAGAUAUUGAACAAAUGUUAUAUCUGGUGCAACAGAUAUUAUAUCUGAUGCACCAGAUUGGACAUAUGUUGCAAUAGGGUAUAUCUUGCAUCAGAUUACCCAUCUGUUUCUUUAAUUCUCUGAAUCCGACUCUUAAAAGAUUUACCAUUUACUACAAAUUAUGCAACAGAUGUUUAAUCUGAUAACAUAUUGUUCAUCUAUUGCGACAUACAGAUCAUCUAUUGCAUAAUUGAUUACCCGUCCUGUACACCUGUUGCAACAUAUGAUUGAUAUUUUGCAUCAUAUUAUCCAUGUGUUGCUCUGUUUCUCUGAACCAGACUCAAAUGGAUUUUAACCAUAUACUGCAAACUAUGCAACAGAUGGGUGAUGACUUUUUAUAUUACUCUAGGUCAUGUUGAUACUAUUGCAGACCCAACGGUGGAGUUAAUAAAGAAGGAAUUGGCUGGAGCAACAACCCUAAGAAGAGCAGUUAGGCAAGGUCGGCCUAAUGUUGAGGCUCUUCAUGACCAACCUUUUACUAAGACAGAUUCGGGUGCUUCUUCUGGUGGAGUUGUUGGUGUUGGUGGCAGGCAUGCUGAUGCUACUACCACUCAUGAUGAUGAGCAUGUUGAUGCUCAAGAAAGAAUAAAUAUGUUUGAAAAUAUCCCUUUUUGCCCUUACACAGGUCCCUAUCACCCCUCUUCAGCCUCGUGUUCUCAUUAUAAAUGCGAUGAGUACAAGGACAGACAGGAUAAAAUCUUUGAAAAAAUAGAGACUAUCUCUAAAUCUAUCGAGAAAUUCAAAUCCAAGAGGUGUGUUAUACCAUCCAAGAAGGUGAGGGAGCCACACACUCAUACAACGUUGGUUAGGAGAAAAAAAAGAGCAAUUAGAGACGUACUCACCGCUCAAAAAUAAAAAAAUUGCAAUUUCUCCCUCUCCAAAAGCUGUUGAAGUUCAGGGUCCAGUCAAGAAGGUAGACAUAUACACUAAACUUGGUACCGAAGAGAAGAGGGAGCUGCGACAGGCCAAGCAUACCAAGCCAGGCGCGCCAGAUUACCCCAGACCUCCCUUUUCCCCCAAGACUUCCAGACUAUGACUGAUAUGCGUAUGCCGUAAGAGGAUAAGGCAAGUUUACUUUUCCUAACCUAGCCCUUCUAAUCUACCCCAUGAAUAAAAAGCUACGUAAUAGAUUUCACAUCUGUUGCAACAGUUGGGUAUACUGGUGCAACUGGUAGUGGUUCUGUUGCAACUUAUUAUCCAUCUAUUGUAUAAGUUUUGGAUUAUUGAUUCAGAGAACCCUAUGAAACAGAUGGACCAUCUGUUGUAUCUUUACAAUUACUAACCUAUUUAAAAAUUAACUUCUUAUCUCACAACAUGUUGACGUAAUUCUCUACCUCAUGAGGAAAAGGCAAUAAACUACAGGGAAGCUUAUAACGUUGCCGAUAGGAUAAUGGACCUCGACUUCUGCAAGAAGCUUAAGGAUAGGUACGAUCAAAUCAAUGAAGAGGCGUCAUCCCUUGGUGUGGGACUUGAUUUCCUAGUUCCUACGUUGGUCUUGGAUGAAGAAGAAACGUUAAGAUAUGUUAGAGGGGACAGGCUAAAUCCACACGGCAAGAGCUGGACCGAGGCAAAAAGGAUUCUUCCAGUCAUUAGCAUGAACGGCAUGCAUUAUAGGGCUAUUGAGAUACUACUCGAGGAGGAAAAGAUCAAUGUUUAUGACACCAACAUACCUCUCAUCGAUGAUUUCGAUCUUUUUCUCCUCGUGGAGCCACUGAUGGUGCUGUUGACCAUCUUGUUGAGAGAGAGUAAGCUGAUGAAUCGUUUUCCAAAGGAAGUGUUGAUGAAGAAAUCAUGGGAUUUUGAAGGUCAAAACAAGGGAAUGAUCCUUCCAAAAGAUGAUGCCGCUAAAGCAAACGGUUCACACGCUCUUGCACACAUCGAAUGUUUGCUGACCGACACAGAAAUGACCGAGCCAACAACUUUUCUGUGCGAUAAUAUUGUGGCAAACCUGCAAGAGGUCAGGUCUUAUGGGGUACUAACUGGACGCUUGAAGCCUGUGUAUAUAGAAGAGCCUGUGAAAUAGAAAUUUUUAAUUUCAAGUCACCCUUCACUUUAUUACAUGUACAUGUAGUGGCAACAAUUUUUUUGAUGAAAUUUGAGUUUUUUAUAUGCAAUGGAUUAGAUUGUCAAUCUGUUGUACAAUAUCUUUAAUCCGUUCUGGCAUAUAGUUUAUCUGUUGCAAUAGGUUGGUCAUCUGUUGCAUUACGGUGAUGUUAUUUCUAUGAAUAAUCUAAUAAUCUAAGUCUAAUCUGUUGCAACAGUGGAAAGACCUGUUUGAUAAUUUAUAACAGAUGAGCUAAAUUUUACAACAUAUGCCUAAAUCUUUUUGAUUUUUUCAGCAGUUACGCUUGAAUAUCCAUGUGCUCGACAACACCAAACCAGUAGCAAAUAUACACACCACCAUGAAAAUUUCAGCAAUUAGACUUAAAUAUCCAUGUGCCCAACAACACCAAACUAGUAGCAAUAAUGGCAAUAAUGUAGUAUCUUCUUGUUCAAUUUUGCUUCUCUUCAAAAGCCUUGAAUUUGUUCAACAAACCCCAGAUUAUACGAUUUGCUUGUGAAGGCUGUCAUUCUUCAUACCAAUCAAAUUAAUCACAUCCAUCCAAUUUCUAUAAAAAAGUGAACAUAAUUACAAAAUAAUUAAUCAAUUAAUUAAAUAAAAAAAUAUUACCUUUGAAAUCUUACAAGUAAAAAACCUAUGAUCCGAAUUUUGUUGAGUCCAAGAAGUCUUUAAUAGAGCUUCAUGUCCGCACUUACAAUAUCAAAAAUCUUUAUCACAAAAAACAGUGGAAGAUGCUCUCGACAUUGUCAAGCUCAGUUGAAAAAAAGGAAAGAAAUAAUUUGAAUAGAUAAACGAAGAUGAAGAUGAAGAAGAAGAUUUGAAAAUUUAGGGUUAAAUUUUUGGAGGAAGAUGAAUAUAUAAGACAAUGGGGGAAAAAAAUGACCAUUGGGGGCCAAGUGACGGAAAGUCAGCGAAAUGUACCAGACUGACACUAACACAUUUGAUGUCUAUUUUAUUUUACAUAUUUAAAAUGAACACUGUCUACUAGAUGCCUAUCUUAUUUUAGGUGUUUGAACUGAACAUCAUUGAUGGGUUGCGCCUUUUUUAUUUCAAUUCAAUUCACUUUAACCUUUUUACACGUAGUGAUAAUUUUUUAUGUCCAACGAAAGUUGAAUUUUUAUAAUGCAAUAGAUUCUCCAUCCGUUGUAACAGUUAUCCUACCUGUUCUGACAUAUAGUUUAUCUGUUGUAAUAGGUUGGCCAUCUGUUGCAUUAUCUCGAUUUUUAUCUAAAGUCCAUCUAUUGCAAUAGUGGGAAGACCUGUUUGAUAAAUUCCACCAGAUCAACUACCUGUUGCAAUAUAUGUCUAAAUCUGUUUGAUUUUUCCAAUAGAUGUGUCUUCUAUUGCAACAAAUACAUUAUCUGUUGCAAUAUUUGAAUCUAGUGCUCCUUUUCAAUUAAUAAGUUCAAAUCUAAGAAAUAAAUAAAAUUUGUAGACAAAAUAAAAUAAAUCAAAGCCUUCAUAAAUUAGCUGAAAUAAGUCGACGAAUAAAUGAAAUGUAAAAAAAUUAUUAUGGGUAUAGAUCUCAAUAAAUACAUCAACAACAAUUUAAGUAUAAUGUCAAGGAUUGCUUUGAAUUGACAAGCUCAAGCUAUAAGGAUCUACUCAGUAUGGACAAGUUGUUCUUCAUUCGGUGCUAUGGAAUUCGACUUUGCUCGUCGUGUAUUUUUAUUGUUGCUUAUGUACGGUUUCUGCACUUUCUGUUCUCCGCAUUUCCAUAAAAAGAGUAGCAUAUUAUCAAUGUUGUUCAGUAGUAGCUUCUUCUAUAUUCACCUGGAAAGCCAGAAUUGGUCAAUGCUAAUCACGGAGAUACAACAAAAUGAAAAAGGAUAACUCAUCUCUUCUAGUAAAUCAAACAGGUCUUUCUCCCAUUUUAAAUUAUCCCAAACAGAUUAUAUUUCUGUUGCAACAAUGAAUCAACUGUUGGGAUAAAUUUUUACAUGAGAAAGAUCCUGUGUGAUAAUUUCCAAUGGAUGAACCAUCCAUUACAACAUAUAAAUCAUCUAUAGUAGCAUAUAGGUCAUCUGUUGGUACAAAUAAAAGCGGUAUGAAGAACUGUUUGAUUUUCUAAACAGAAGAGACAUAUGUUACACCAGAUAAAGUAUCUUGUGUAACAGGUUAGUCAACUGUUGCAACAGAUGUAUAUAUCUGUUUGAUAAUUUUUAGCAGAUAUGUCAUCUAUUGAAACAGAUAUGUGUCUGUUUGUUUUGUCAGUUGGAAGACAUAUAACAUACUCACCUUCUUCAGCUCGUGCUGCUCUCCUUUGGAUAUUGUACGUUACUUAGUGCAACACACAGACAGAGUAGUUAUAAUUUUGCUUUUUUGGAUGCUUGAUAAUACCCUGGAAAUCACUCUCCUUCUCUCUUAGCCCUAAUCUCUAAUGGAGCGGAUGGAAAUAAAAUCCUCUUUGAUAGAAUGAGACCUCUCUUAGAUGUCAAUUCCUUUAUAGAAGUAGUUAAUGCAUUAAUAGCAUUAAUCACUACAUCAUGUUUCGCCCUCCAGUCUUGACAUUUGCAUGCAGAACAUUCGCUGGGAGAGGCAAAAUCUGUAUAACCAGUAUGAUCAUACUCAUAAUGAUUUGCUUUAAAUACUGUAAGAGGAGCAUCAUUAGCACCAACAGCAGCACCACUACCACCACCAACAACUCCAUCACCACUAAGACCAUCAACAACAACAACAAGCCCACCUUUUAAAAUUAUUUUUCUUAUAAUGGCUGUUGCUCCAAAUAAUUCUAUUUUUAUUCUGUCGAUGAUCUUAGGGUUCGAUAAGUUUGUACAGACCGUAAAGUAAGAAAAAAUAGCAUAUUCAACUCUCGAUUGGUUGGAACUAGCGACGGAUGCACAAUCUAACAUAAAUCAUGACAUAUAUUAGAAUGAUGAUUAGAUCAAUCAAAAUAAAUCAUUAAUUAAAAGAAAAAAUUAAUUAUAAUUAUAUUUACUGCAUUCUUCGAGGGGUUGAAGAGAUCAAGAAAUUUUGCACUUUUAUCAGUUUUGGCUGACAACCAUCUCAAGAUUCUUGGACAGGAAACUCCUUCCUGGUAGUUCACUUGUUGUCUUAAUAAGGAAUGGCUUCAAACGCCCAAGCAUAUAAAAUAAUGCCAAUAAAUCAAAACCAUUAUUGAGCCAAAAAAAUGAAUGAUAUCAUAAUAGAAGAAAGAAACAUUUACCAUGAAGUCCAUGGAAAAUCAUAUAAGUUGACUGUCUUUGGCGCUAACGAAGUCAACAAAUAUUUGACAGUCAUUUUGAAGCUUUCAUACCCCCAAGGAUAGCUGUUAAACGCCUUAAGAUCCUCGGAGAGCUUUAUUAAACCGAGGCUUAUGUUGUUGUUAACGUCUCUCGCCCAAAGAAUAUUAUGUACAAACCAAACCAAGCACAAUGAUUGCUUGUGCUUCUUUGAAAGUCCUUUACCUUUCAACGCUUCUAUCAAAUUUUUAUUUUUGAAGCUUGGACCAACAAUGGACACCAGGUUAUAACGAUCACACGACUUGCCUUUGCCUUUUUGGGGUGUGCGGGGUGCUUUUUUAGGUUAGAAUAGGUAUAACUUGAGAAGGAGGAUAAUAUUUUAGUCCAGUAACUAUGGCAAACUCUUUCCAACUAAAAUAAAUAGGCAUGCCACAGUAAUUUAUCCACACCUCAUCUAUCUUAUCUUUAUUUUCAUAGAUAAACCUAUGCUUGAGAAGUUCAUAUACCAUUUUCAUUUAGAAACAAGCAUUGUUGUCCUCUGGCAAAUCAAGAUAUUUCUCAAAGUAGCUGUGCCUGAAAUAAGCAUCUAAUUUUUAUUCUCAAAGUAUUUUUCUAAAGGCGUUGAAAGAUUUUCCCAUGAAUAACUUCCACGAAAUUACCCGUUAAAUCUGCGGCAUCAUCACACUGCAUUCUCACAGGAUAAUGAUCAAUGUUGAAGGCUUUGACCAGCUCUUCGAUGGAAGGGCUAUUAUCAUCUGCAUCAUCUCUUCUAAAAUAUUUCUCCUCCCCAUGUUCAUCAUAUUCUGCUCUCGAUUGAGAUAACGCUUGUAAAGCAAGCUCAUAGAGUGGUGGAUGUAGCCUAGCUGUUUCACUUGUUCCUUUACUUGGACUUGAUUCGAUUUCUGUUCUUUUGGGAAUCAUAUUAUCUAAAAUUAACAGGAACAUAAAAUAAUAUAUUAUUGUUGAUUAAUGCAUCAUUAAAAAAGGAUAACAGUAAAUCAAACAAGCAAAAUAGUAAAAUGACAGCUUUAACAGAUUAUCGAUCUAUUGCACUAGGUAGUAUAUCUGUUGCAGCAUAUAACCAAACUGUUGCAACGGAUGAGUAAUCUGUUACAACAAUAAAAACAUAUCACUCAUAUUUUAAGACAGAUGAAUGGUCUGUUCAACAGAUCACACAACUGUUGUGACAUCAUCUGUUGUAAUAAAUGAGUGAUCUGUUGGAAUAGUUAAAUAAUCCAUAGCAACGGCUGAGUAAUCUAUUGCGAUAAUACAAACAUAUCAUUCAUCUGUUCAGAAAGAUGAAUGGUUUAUGCAACAGAUCACACAUCUGUUGCAACAUAUGAAUGAUCUGUCAGAGCAGUUAACUAACCUGUAGCAAUGACUGAGUAAUCUGUUGCGACAAUACAAAACAUAUCACUCAUUUGUUGAGAAAGAUGAAUGGUCUGUGUAACAGGUCACACAUCUGUUGCAACACAUGAGUGAUCUGUUGGAACAGUUAUCAACAGUCAAUAUUGCUUAGUUUUCUUCCAACAUAGGGUCGUCUAUCAUGGCAGAUGAAUGAUCAGUUGAAAAAAUCAAGUCUUGGACAUUUCCUGUAGGAAGAGUUGAUAGGAUUUUAUCCAACAGAAGGUUCAUCUAUUGCAUCAGAUUAUUAAUCUGAUGGUUCUUCCAUUGCACCAGAUGAUUAAUUAGUUGCAUCAGAUUUUUUAUCCUAUGCUUAAUUUUUUGCAAUAUAUGGUAAAGCUCUUGCAUCAGAUAGUUAAUAUGUUGCAUCAGAUUAUUAAUCUGUUGCAUCAGAAUUAUAAUUUGAUUAUUCCUCGGUGCAUCAAAUGGUUGAUCUGUUGCAUCAUAUGAUAAAUCUGUUGCACCAGAUGUUUAAUAUGUUGCACCAAAUGAGUAAUCUGUCGGAGGAAAUAAAAAACAGUAGCACGAUUUUGUUCAACAAAAAAUAUCAAUUUCACCAUUUUUACUAAGAACAAGAACAGAACAAAUCAAACCAAAUUGUCGUUUUAUCUUAAUAAACACAAACAAUAAAAAUCAAACUUCAAAAAAAUGCAACAAACAACAAAAUAUCAUAAUUCUCUUCGAAAAGAAAAGAGAAGAAAUACUAGAAAUUAGAGUUUUAUUCAGACCGCAUUUCAAAUUAGUGCAACAAAUAUUAAAAUUGUUAACCAAUACUAUAAGAGAAGUUGGCUCAAGUUCCUUGUUUUCUUCAAAACUAAAAAGGCCAUAAAUUUUUACCUGUGAAAGAAGAAAAGGAACGAUGAAGAAUUCGAAGCUGUUGUGGCCGGAGAGCAAGUCUGUCACGUCGAUUGAAGGUUGAAGUCGAAAAGGAACUCGAAGCCCAACUAUUUGUAGUCGGAUGUUAAAGUCGCCGAGGAUUGAAAUGAGAAAUUUGCAGAACAGUUGGUUGGGAAAGAAUUGAGAGAAGCUGCCAAGAGAGGAAUGAAAGACAGGUUGAUUGAAUAGAAGAGAGGAACUCGAAGCCCAACUAUUUAUUGUCGGAGGUAGAAGUCGUCGGGGGUUGAAGGGAGAAAUUUUGCAAAACUGUUGGUUGGGAGAGAGUUGAGAGAAGCUGUCGAGAGAGAGGGGAGAGUGGUUGAUUUGGAUUGAAGAGGGGAGUUGGGUUGAUUUGUAUUUUUGAAAAGAUUAGAAAUUUUUAAAAAUAUUAAUCAAGUCCACAAUUAACUUAAUUAAGUUUCCUAAUGAUGUUUGACCCUAUCUGUUGGUCAAUGUCACCAAUCCUUCAUUCAAGACUUAAAAGACACUUUUCCUUCAAUUUUCUCCACUUACUCUAUCUCAAAUGUCCAUUUUCUUUCUAAUUUUAAAAAGUGUUUUUUCUUUUUUGCUUUGCUAUUUAAAAAAGAAAAAAAAACUUUUUAGUUGUUUUUUAUUUAAAUUUUUUUUAUUUUCUAAUAGUUUCACUUCUUUAGUGAAAGAAAAAUAUUUAUGUUGUUUUAUUUUUUUAAUUUAUAUUUUUAUUUAUUAAGGUGGGAACGUAUUAUAAUCAAAUAAGUAUCAAUAUCGAUACAUUACAUAAUUAUUUAUAUAACAUCGAUACACAAUUAUACACCAUUUGUAUAAUGUACCUAUUUAUGCAACAUCGAUAUAAGUUUAUACAUGCAUGUUUAUACAUACAUGUUUAUAUAGUAAUUAUACAAUAUUUAUACAGGUUUAUACAUCAUUUAAACAGAGUAGAUAUUACAUAACUAUUUGUACAUCGUCGACACUUGUUUACACACAUUUAUAUAAUAUUGAUAUAUUAAAUAUAUGCUACAUAACUAUUUGUACAUCAUAUAUACAUGUUUAUACAUCAUGUAUACAAUAUUGUUACACGUUUAUACUAUUAUACAAUAUCGAUACACUACAUAUAAACUAUGUUAACUAUUUAUAUAAUAUUGAUAUAUUAUAUAUUAACUACAUUAACAAUUUAUACAAUAUCAAUACACUACAUAUAUAGUACAUAACGAUUAGUACAUUAUAUAUACAUAUUUAUACACCAUUUAUAUAAUAUUAAUACAUGAAAAAAUUGCAUGAAAAGCCCUUUUAAAAGAAAAGUGAAAAAGUUUUCCUUUCAAUGAAAAAAAUGAAGCAAAAAAAGUAACAAAAAAAUUAUUUUUUUCUUUUUUUAAUUUACUGCUGAAAAUAAUAGAAAAAGGAUGAAAAUGGUCUAAUGGCCAUUUUAAGUAAUAUACAAAACUUGGUUAUAUUUAUUGUAAAUUUUUUAUUUUUUAAAUAUAAAUGAAAUUUUUUCUUUAAAUAUGUACGCAGAUAUAUAACUUAUUAAAUUUAAUGAAAUAAACUUAAUCAAAUAUUUUUAAAUUUUACAAAGCUAAUAUUAUGUUCAUACGUUUUUAAAAGAUUUUUAAAAAUUCGCCAGCUUCAUCAAGUUCUCGUGCAAAUUCAAUAUUUUCCAUGAAAGGUUUGAUAUACUAUUGCACAAGAGUUGUUACAUAUACUUUUAUAAACAAGAACUAGUAGAACUAUCCGUUCUUUGCGCGGUUAAAAAUAUCUUAUUCAAUUCAUGAAAUGAUCCUCUUUAAAAUAUUUGAGCACUUGUAAUAUAACUAGAGGAACAUGGCCCGUGUAGUACAGGCCUAACAUUAAGAUAUUUAUUUCUCUUUUCAAUCUUGAUAUAUUUAAAUAAAAUUUUUUAAUAACAGGAUUGCAUAUGUUUUCUAGGAUUCAUCCGGAAUCUAGCAUUAAUUCAACAUAUCUUAUUUUAAUAUUAUUUAGAUAAUUUAAGUUGUUAAAUAUUGUAAUUUAUAAUAUUUUUUAUGUAAUUUUCAAAUUAAUAUACGUUACUUUUCUUGUCCAAAUUUUGCAGCAUUGAUAGACAAUUAUAUUUUAAAAAUAAUUUAAGUUUUUAAUUAUUUUGAUUUAUGAUACUUUCUUCUAUUUCAAUUUUAGUGACACUAAUAUAAUUUCAAGAGUCGACCAAAUAUUUUAUAUCUUUCAAAAAUUUUAAAUUGUUAAUUAUUGUGAUUUCUAGUAUUUUUCAUGUGAAACAUAUAACAUAUUAAAUUAUUUUUAGAUAUUUUAAGUUGUAAACUAUUAUAAUUUAUAAUACUUUUUAUGUAAUUUUUGAAUAAUAUAUUUUACUCUCCUUGUCCAGAGUUUUGUGUCAAUGAUAGCCAAUUAUAUUUUUUAAAUAAUUUAAAUUUUUUAUCAUUGUGAUUUGUAAUAUUUUUUCUAUUUCAACUUAUGUGGCACAAUGCUUAAAUGACCAUAAUAAUUAAUUAGGAGUGAUAUAAUAAAAUAUAAUUAUUAUUAUUUAUUAUUUAUUACUUUUAUUAUGUGUAUGUGUUGAUUCAAGUAGAAUUUGGAAACAUUUAGAAAUAUGUUGAAUGUUACAAAUGUUAAUAAUCCAUUUGGUGCUUCUUGAUUUCUCUACAUUUAUUUCUUGUGUGUUUUUACUCUUUUGUUCUUUGAGUAAAUGUAGUAAUUUUUUUAAAAAUAUCAUGAAAUUUUUUAUUAUUAGUUUUUCAAUACAAAAGUGACUUAUAAUAAUUAAUUGCGGGUGAUACAUUAAAAUCACGAUUGAAGCAGCAAAAAUCAGUCAAUUUUUUAAAAUUAUUUUGUUAAUUAUUGUUAUUUACAGUACUUUUUAUUUUAUUUUCAAAUAAUAUAUGUUGCUCUAUAUCUUCUUCUAUCUAGUCCCAAUUUAUGUGGCACUAGUAUAAUUUUGAUAGUCAAUCAAAUAUUUUAUGUUGACAUAUAAUUUUGUUAUUUUAUUUUUUAAUAUAUAAAUGACUUAUAAUAAGGAGUGAUAUAAUAAAAUCAUCGUUCGAAAGACAAAAUUUUAAUUUAAAACAUUAAGAGUUAAUUUCGCAUUUUAUGUCUAUUUUAUUUUUCAUUAAAUAUUAUUUAUUUUUUUAAUACCUAAUUGACUCAUAAUAAUUAAUUAAGAGCGAUUAAUUAUGUUAUUACUAUAAAAAUUAAUAUAAUUUUAUUAUAUCCAAUAGUAAUCUUCGAUAAUUCACUAAAAUAAUAUAUUAAUUAAAUACGAGAUGCUAUAUUUGCAUAUGCAAACUUUAAAAAUUUAAAGUUAAGUUUAAAUAUUAGUAUUUCUAUAUAAGAAAAAAAUUAAUUAAAAUAAAUAAAUAAAUAAAUAAAAAGAUUACUUUUCUAUAUAAAAGUCAAUUAAAAUAAUAAAAUUGAUUUACUUUCAAUAUUUAGUUGCAAUUAAUUAAGAUAAUUUUUUAUUUUGUCAUAAUUUAUGUUGAACCGAUAAAAUUUUGAGAGUUGAAUAGAACUUUUAUCUAUUUUUAAAAAAAGUAUUUUUACUUGUUAAUUAUUAUAAUUUAUAAUAAUUUGUACGUAUUUUAAAAUAAUAUAUUUACUCCUUGUGUCUCCAUUUAUAUGGUUUCAAUACAAUUUUGAGAAUCAACUAAAAUUUUUAUAUAUUUUUUAAAUAUUUUAAAUUGUUAAUUAUUAUAAUUUGCAGUAUUUUUUCUUUUAUCUCAAUUUAUGUGGCAUUGCUAAAAUAAUAAGAGUCAAUAAAUUUCUGUGUCUUUCAAAUAUUUUAAGUUAUUAAUUAUUGUGAUUCGUGAUGACAAAUUAGUUUUGAAUAUGAUAGCAAUUAAAUAAAUAAAAAAAAUUUACUUCUAAUAUGUAGUUAUAGUUAAUUAAUUUAAAUUUAAUAGAAUAUAUUAAAUACUUGAAUCAUUACGACGAAACAAUAAAAUUAUUAUAUAUUUAAGCAUGAUAUGUAAUUAAAUGAAAAUAAUUUUUUUUUGAUAAUUGCAUGAGAGGUGGUUGAAACCACCUCUUCUGCUGUAUAAUUGAAAUAUAAUGAUAAAAAUAGGUUGUGCGCACCUAAAAAAUGACCCUCACUUUCCACAAUUAUAUAUUCCGAGAAAAUUACAUAUAUAUCGUCUUUUGAUUUUAAUUUGUACAUAAUGCUCUGAUGUUUUUGCUUGUAUACCUUGCAAUCCAUUCUAUUUUACCAGUUCCAAAUUAAAAUUACACAAUUAUUAAGAAAAUCAUGAUCGAUAAAGUAGCUUUAUCAUUUAACCUCUCUUAAUUGUGUAUUGUUGUCAAUUUCAAUAUUAAUGGAUGACUAAUAUCAAAGCACUAUUUAUAUUCUUAAUAGUAUACUCUUUAUAACAUUUUUCAAGAAUAUUAAUAAUAAAAAGUAAUCAAUUAUACAAGGGAAUAAUGGUAAUCGACAUGCAAGCAAACUCUAAAAGAGGAGCCUGCAAUCCGGUCUGUUGAGCUUGAAUAUUAUGAAGUCAUCAUCGUGACACUUCUUCCACAAAUAAAUUAGAGUAAAAAGAAAAUUAGAAAACGUGUAAAAUUAAAAGAAAAAAAAAAGAAAUAAAAGAAAUUGCUUAAUCAAGUAAGAGCAGAUCAAGCUAUCAAACAUUAACUUAUACGUAAAUACCAUUGAUCACAUUUUGUAUUCCAUGCGAAAUUGGUUUUUAUGAAAAUGUUUCAUGUAAAACUGAACAAUGAAACUACAAAUCCUUGAUUUAUAUUAUAACUACAUAGUAAAAACUCAUAUCAAAACAUUAAAACUACAACUUGACAAAAGAUAAUUAACUAUUAGCGAUUAUUAAGGAAAAGCAAUUAAAAUUCAAUUAGUGGUAACUCACAACAAAUCUAUAGAAGGAUUUCCAGAUCACAAAUCCAUACCACAGAAAAUGCAAUCAUGAACCAGGAAUUUCAGAGAAGGUACAUGUUAAAGCUAAGCAAAAGCACUCAAAGAAAACAUUUUCAUAGGAAGCGAUUGAACUUCGAAAGGUAUGACACAAGCCACCAUAUCAUCAUCAGAACGAUAAUCAAUUUCAUUCACAACCAUAACUAGUUGUGUCCAAAGGUGUCCUAAGAUUGAUCUGUGUCAUCAUUUGACUUAUGGCAACCAAUAAACUAAGAAAAAUGUUGCAAAAAAAAAAAAAAAAAAAAUAUGUGCCACAAAUUAAAAACCAAAAGUAAAACUUGAAUUAAUAAACAGUAUGUGAUUCAGUUGCAACAUAAACAUAAUCACUAUUAUAAAAUCAGUCCAAGUGUUGGAAUUAAAAUAAUUGCUUCAUCAUCAUCACCAUUAGAACAAAAUAUAAAACGGCAGUUUCAUAAAUAGAAAAACAAGAAUAAAAGGUCAUUCAUCACCGAAAUCAGAAGAGGGAGCUUAGAUAUCCUCAUUAUGAUUUCAAUUUAAAAAACCACUAAAUAAGUUAGAAAAAUAAAUCAAAAGAAAAAAGAGUCACUCAGUUCAGCGGGGUAAUCGACACGCAAGCAAACUCUAAAAAUAGAGAAGCCUGCAAUCCGGUCUGUUGAGCUUGAAUAUUAUGGAGUCGUCACCGUGACCUUUUUUCCAUCAAAAAUCAAUUAGGGCAAGAAAAUGAAGAAAAAUUAAAAAGUAGAUCUGGGGGAGGAAUGAAAAUGCUCAGUGGUGGCUAGUUGUUAUUGGUUCGAUUCUGCCAGCAAGUUUCCUCAAUGUUACUCAGAAGAGGGAGCUUGGAAUCCUCAUUGCAAAAUCCACCUCCCCAAAAAUUGUUUACAAAAUCUAACAAAGAGAUUUAAAAAGCAUAUAUUAAAGAUGUAAAGAAGAGAUGGCUCAGGGAAGAAGGAGAUCGACAUGCAAAGACAGAAGCCCCUGACAAUCCGGUCUGUUUAGCUUGAUCUUUCAGAGUCCGCAUAGCCACUCUUCCUUCUACAUCAACUAAAAGUAUAAAUCAGAAAAUGCAAUAAAGAAAGGAAAAGGAAGAGGAGUUUGUUGCUGCUUUACUGUGUGAAUGGUGUGGGGGCGGUGACUAUUAAUUUAUAGAGGUACAACUAGGGUUUGUAGAUUUUUUUAAGAUGGAGAAGC